rnacentral:rRNA from 1 species
GAUCCUGGCUCAGGAUGAACGCUAGCUACAGGCUUAACACAUGCAAGUCGAGGGGCAUCAGGGUGUAGCAAUACGCCGCUUGCGAUCGGCGCACGGGUGAGUAACACGUAUCCAACCUGCCCUUUACUCGGGGAUAGCCCUUCGAAAGAAAGAUUAAUACCCGAUGGCAUAACAUGACCUCCUGGUUUUGUUAUUAAAGAAUUUCGGUAGAGGAUGGGGAUGCGUUCCAUUAGGCAGUUGGCGGGGUAACGG